AAGGAAAAUGCAGGGUAAGGGGCAGCACGGGGGCUGCAGUCGGCCCAGGCCAUGGGGCAGACACAGCAGCGCGGCCGGCACCAGGGCUGCACAUACACAUGGACGCCUCCACCUACGGACAGGGCAUGCAGGGAGGCUGCGACGUGCCCUGGCUUCCCCUCUGCCCUCACCAGUGGACGUCAGCCCCCAGGAGCCUGGGUGUUCGUGUGGCACUGGGGCUGCAGCCAAGGACCGUGCUGGAGGCCUCACGCAGACCAGACUCCA